UAAUACGUAGGGUGCAAGCGUUAAUCGGAAUUACUGGGCGUAAAGCGUGCGCAGGCGGUUUUGUAAGUCUGACGUGAAAUCCCCGGGCUCAACCUGGGAAUUGCGUUGGAGACUGCAAGGCUAGAAUCUGGCAGAGGGGGGUAGAAUUCCACGUGUAGCAGUGAAAUGCGUAGAGAUGUGGAGGAACACCGAUGGCGAAGGCAGCCCCCUGGGUCAAGAUUGACGCUCAUGCACGAAAGCGUGGGGAGCAAACAGGAUUAGAUACCCUGGUAGUCCACGCCCUAAACGAUGUCUACUAGUUGUCGGGUCUUAAUUGACUUGGUAACGCAGCUAACGCGUGAAGUAGACCGCCUGGGGAGUACGGUCGCAAGAUUA
rnacentral:rRNA from 1 species